AUGACAGCUUUUUUGAUACCAAGUAUUCUUACAACUAUUGUGAUUUGUCAAAUUAACAUAUUUUUGAACUCAUCUUUGCUAUUUACCAUUUUCUGCUUAAAAGGAAUCACGUCCAAAUCCGAUAUGUCACUAGUCUACUCAAGAUUUGCGGCAGAUAUCGGUUAUAGUUGUUCAAGGCAACUGUGAUACUGGGGAUCAUUCGAACAAGUUUGUUAUUUAUAAUUUCAUUGGAUCGAAUAAUUGCUCUAUUUUCUUCUCAAUUUUACAACCCAAAUCGUCGAAAGCUUCCAUUGUCUGUCAUUUUCCUUAUCAUAUCCAGCUCGAUAGCUUUUGAUCAUUUUAUAAUGUUCGGAUAUUGUGAGAAUGUCAUAGAUACUCCAAUCGACUGCGAUAGUGCCAGAUGUUGUUAUAAUGCGUGUUAUGCUCACUUUUGGAUUUCACGGGAACAAGUUAUGUUCUGUUGUAUAGUUAUGAUGACAGUUUUGUUAUCAUUGAAGCUAGUAGUUUGCACAUACUUCACACAUAAUCAACACGCUCGAAUUUUGUCAAGAGCAACUCAAAUAGCAAUGAUUGACUCCACUACUCUUAUUUUAUUCAACCUUAUUCCAAUUCUAACUCAUGUUUGGUUUGCGUCUUCAGAUUAUCAAACAUACGCGUCUAUUACUACUCUAUCCAGAAAUCUCGGAUUUUUAAUGAAUACCUUAAUUAUUUUUCGAAUACUUAUGAGAGACAAAAAACAUGUGGUGCCUUUGAAGAUUUCUUCAUGA
rnacentral:misc_RNA from 1 species